rnacentral:tRNA from 1 species
GGGAAGAUAAGCUAAGUAAGCUAACAGGUUCAUACCCUGUCUAUGGGGGCUACCCCUCUUUCUA